rnacentral:rRNA from 1 species
GCCCCCCGCCCCUCUUUGGUGGGGUUAUCAUGCAGGAGGGGGGCAGAAAACCCCUUUUUUUUUGGGGAGCGAGAGAGAAGAGACAAUUUUCCCCAAAGGUCUUUUUUCUGCCGGCCCCCCAAAAACAAACGGGGAGGAGUAGUAAUGACGCCUGAACGCUGCCCGCCAGAAUAACGCGCCAUUGCUUCAAGUUGUGAUUCAUAUUUUGCAAUUCACAUUACUAUCGCAUCGUGCUUUUAUCAUGCAGACCAAGUCGUGUGAAAGUUUAAUUCAUUUGUAAUGAUUCCACUAGACUGCUAAAUAAAAUCUAGAGUUUGGUCCCCGGCGGCGCCCGGUUCCGGGGUGUAAAGGCCCGGGCGAGACCCGCCGCAGCAAGGUGUAAGUGGUAUAAGUUCACUGGGGUUUGGGAGUUGAAAACUCGGUAAUGAUCUCUCUGUAGGGGGGACCUGCGGAGGGAUCAUUACCGAGUUCUUCAGCUGUCGCUCCAACCCCAUGUGAACUUAUACCAUUUACAACCGUUGCUUCGGCGGGUUCUCGCCCCGGGCCUUUACACCCCGGAACCAGGCGGCCCGCCGGGGGACCCAAACUCUAGAUUUUUAUUUUAGCAUGUCUGAGUGGAAUCAUUACAAAAUGAAUCAAAACUUUCAACAACGGAUCUCUUGGUUCUGGCAUCGAUGAAGAACGCAGCGAAAUGCGAUAAGUAAUGUGAAUUGCAGAAUUCAGUGAAUCAUCGAAUCUUUGAACGCACAUUGCGCCCGCCAGUAUUCUGGCGGGCAUGCCUGUUCGAGCGUCAUUUCAACCCUCAAGCCCCAGCGGUUUGGUGUUGGGGGCCGGCGAGUACAGAGGCUUUGGGGACUUGUCCCCCUUCCCUCGGCGCCGCCCCCGAAAUGAAUUGGCGGUCUCGUCGCGGCCUCCUCUGCGUAGUAGCACAACCUCGCAUCAGGAGCGCGGCGCGGCCACUGCCGUAAAACGCCCAACUUUUUUUAAGAGUUGACCUCGAAUCACGUAGUAGGCCACCAUUCCCGCUGAACUUAAGCAUAUCAAAAGGCCGGAGGAA